rnacentral:rRNA from 1 species
GGCGAUGUCCGAAUGGGGAAACCCAGUGCAAUUCGUUGCACUAUCGUUAACUGAAUACAUAGGUUAACGAGGCGAACCGGGGGAACUGAAACAUCUAAGUACCCCGAGGAAAAGAAAUCAACCGAGAUUCCCCCAGUAGCGGCGAGCGAACGGGGAGCAGCCCAGAGUCUGAAUCAGCUUGUGUGUUAGUGGAACGGUCUGGAAAGUCCGACGGUACAGGGUGAUAGUCCCGUACACCAAAAUGCACAGGUUGUGAACUCGAAGAGUAGGGCGGGACACGUGGUAUCCUGUCUGAAUAUGGGGGGACCAUCCUCCAAGGCUAAAUACUCCUGACUGACCGAUAGUGAACCAGUACCGUGAGGGAAAGGCGAAAAGAACCCCGGCGAGGGGAGUGAAAAAGAACCUGAAACCGUGUACGUACAAGCAGUGGGAGCACCUUCGGGUGUGACUGCGUACCUUUUGUAUAAUGGGUCAGCGACUUAUAUUCUGUAGCAAGGUUAACCGUAUAGGGGAGCCGCAGGGAAACCGAGUCUUAACUGGGCGUUAAGUUGCAGGGUAUAGACCCGAAACCCGGUGAUCUAGCCAUGGGCAGGUUGAAGGUUGGGUAACACUAACUGGAGGACCGAACCGACUAAUGUUGAAAAAUUAGCGGAUGACUUGUGGCUGGGGGUGAAAGGCCAAUCAAACCGGGAGAUAGCUGGUUCUCCCCGAAAGCUAUUUAGGUAGCGCCUCGUGAACUCAUCUUCGGGGGUAGAGCACUGUUUCGGCUAGGGGGUCAUCCCGACUUACCAACCCGAUGCAAACUACGAAUACCGAAGAAUGUUAUCACGGGAGACACACGGCGGGUGCUAACGUCCGUCGUGAAGAGGGAAACAACCCAGACCGCCAGCUAAGGUCCCAAAGUCAUGGUUAAGUGGGAAACGAUGUGGGAAGGCACAGACAGCCAGGAUGUUGGCUUAGAAGCAGCCAUCAUUUAAAGAAAGCGUAAUAGCUCACUGGUCGAGUCGGCCUGCGCGGAAGAUGUAACGGGGCUAAACCAUGCACCGAAGCUGCGGCAGCGACACUAUGUGUUGUUGGGUAGGGGAGCGUUCUGUAAGCCUGCGAAGGUGUGCUGUGAGGCAUGCUGGAGGUAUCAGAAGUGCGAAUGCUGACAUAAGUAACGAUAAAGCGGGUGAAAAGCCCGCUCGCCGGAAGACCAAGGGUUCCUGUCCAACGUUAAUCGGGGCAGGGUGAGUCGACCCCUAAGGCGAGGCCGAAAGGCGUAGUCGAUGGGAAACAGGUUAAUAUUCCUGUACUUGGUGUUACUGCGAAGGGGGGACGGAGAAGGCUAUGUUAGCCGGGCGACGGUUGUCCCGGUUUAAGCAUGUAGGCUGAUUGUCCAGGCAAAUCCGGAUAAUCAAGGCUGAGGUGUGAUGACGAGGCACUACGGUGCUGAAGUAACAAAUGCCCUGCUUCCAGGAAAAGCCUCUAAGCAUCAGGUAACAUCAAAUCGUACCCCAAACCGACACAGGUGGUCAGGUAGAGAAUACCAAGGCGCUUGAGAGAACUCGGGUGAAGGAACUAGGCAAAAUGGUGCCGUAACUUCGGGAGAAGGCACGCUGGUGUGUAGGUGAAGUCCCUGCGGAUGGAGCUGAGACCAGUCGAAGAUACCAGCUGGCUGCAACUGUUUAUUAAAAACACAGCACUGUGCAAACACGAAAGUGGACGUAUACGGUGUGACGCCUGCCCGGUGCCGGAAGGUUAAUUGAUGGGGUUAUCCGUAAGGAGAAGCUCUUGAUCGAAGCCCCGGUAAACGGCGGCCGUAACUAUAACGGUCCUAAGGUAGCGAAAUUCCUUGUCGGGUAAGUUCCGACCUGCACGAAUGGCGUAAUGAUGGCCAGGCUGUCUCCACCCGAGACUCAGUGAAAUUGAACUCGCUGUGAAGAUGCAGUGUACCCGCGGCAAGACGGAAAGACCCCGUGAACCUUUACUAUAGCUUGACACUGAACAUUGAGCCUUGAUGUGUAGGAUAGGUGGGAGGCUUUGAAGCGUGGACGCCAGUCUGCGUGGAGCCAACCUUGAAAUACCACCCUUUAAUGUUUGAUGUUCUAACGUUGGCCCCUGACCGGGGUUGCGGACAGUGUCUGGUGGGUAGUUUGACUGGGGCGGUCUCCUCCCAAAGCGUAACGGAGGAGCACGAAGGUUAGCUAAUCCUGGUCGGACAUCAGGAGGUUAGUGCAAUGGCAUAAGCUAGCUUGACUGCGAGCGUGACGGCGCGAGCAGGUGCGAAAGCAGGUCAUAGUGAUCCGGUGGUUCUGAAUGGAAGGGCCAUCGCUCAACGGAUAAAAGGUACUCCGGGGAUAACAGGCUGAUACCGCCCAAGAGUUCAUAUCGACGGCGGUGUUUGGCACCUCGAUGUCGGCUCAUCACAUCCUGGGGCUGAAGUAGGUCCCAAGGGUAUGGCUGUUCGCCAUUUAAAGUGGUACGCGAGCUGGGUUUAGAACGUCGUGAGACAGUUCGGUCCCUAUCUGCCGUGGGCGCUGGAGAAUUGAGGGGGGCUGCUCCUAGUACGAGAGGACCGGAGUGGACGCAUCACUGGUGUUCGGGUUGUCAUGCCAAUGGCACUGCCCGGUAGCUAAAUGCGGAAGAGAUAAGUGCUGAAAGCAUCUAAGCACGAAACUUGCCCCGAGAUGAGUUCUCCCUGAGACUUUAAGUCUCCUGAAGGAACGUUGAAGACGACGACGUUGAUAGGCCGGGUGUGUAAGCGCAGCGAUGCGUUGAGCUAACCGGUACUAAUGAACCGUGAGGCUUAACCUUACAACGCCGAAG